rnacentral:rRNA from 1 species
GAUGAACGCUAGCUACAGGCUUAACACAUGCAAGUCGAGGGGCAGCAUGGUCUUAGCUUGCUAAGGCCGAUGGCGACCGGCGCACGGGUGAGUAACACGUAUCCAACCUGCCGUCUACUCUUGGACAGCCUUCUGAAAGGCAGAUUAAUACAAGAUGGCAUCAUGAGUCCGCAUGUUCACAUGAUUAAAGGUAUUCCGGUAGACGAUGGGGAUGCGUUCCAUUAGAUAGUAGGCGGGGUAACGGCCCACCUAGUCUUCGAUGGAUAGGGGUUCUGAGAGGAAGGUCCCCCACAUUGGAACUGAGACACGGUCCAAACUCCUACGGGAGGCAGCAGUGAGGAAUAUUGGUCAAUGGGCGCAGGCCUGAACCAGCCAAGUAGCGUGAAGGAUGACUGCCCUAUGGGUUGUAAACUUCUUUUAUAAAGGAAUAAAGUCGGGUAUGUAUACCCGUUUGCAUGUACUUUAUGAAUAAGGAUCGGCUAACUCCGUG